rnacentral:rRNA from 1 species
GUGGGGAAUAUUGGACAAUGGGGGGAACCCUGAUCCAGCCAUGCCGCGUGUGUGAAGAAGGCCUUUUGGUUGUAAAGCACUUUAAGCGAGGAGGAGGCUACCGAGAUUAAUACUCUUGGAUAGUGGACGUUACUCGCAGAAUAAGCACCGGCUAACUCUGUGCCAGCAGCCGCGGUAAUACAGAGGGUGCAAGCGUUAAUCGGAUUUACUGGGCGUAAAGCGCGCGUAGGUGGCCAAUUAAGUCAAAUGUGAAAUCCCCGAGCUUAACAUGGGAAUUGAAUUCGAUACUGGUUGGCUAGAGUAUGGGAGAGGAUGGUAGAAUGCCAGGUGUAGCGGUGAAAUGCGUAGAGAUCUGGAGGAAUACCGAUGGCGAAGGCAGCCAUCUGGCCUAAUACUGACACUGAGGUGCGAAAGCAUGGGGAGCAAACAGGAUUAGAAACCCGGGUAGUCC